AUUGAACGCUGGCGGCAGGCCUAACACAUGCAAGUCGAGCGGCAGCACGGGAAGCUUGCUUCCUGGUGGCGAGCGGCGGACGGGUGAGUAAUGCAUAGGAAUCUGCCCGAUAGUGGGGGAUAACCUGGGGAAACCCAGGCUAAUACCGCAUACGUCCUACGGGAGAAAGCAGGGGCUCUUCGGACCUUGCGCUAUCGGAUGAGCCUAUGUCGGAUUAGCUAGUUGGUGAGGUAAUGGCUCACCAAGGCGACGAUCCGUAGCUGGUCUGAGAGGAUGAUCAGCCACAUCGGGACUGAGACACGGCCCGAACUCCUACGGGAGGCAGCAGUGGGGAAUAUUGGACAAUGGGCGCAAGCCUGAUCCAGCCAUGCCGCGUGUGUGAAGAAGGCCCUCGGGUUGUAAAGCACUUUCAGUGGGGAAGAAAGCCUUGGGGCUAAUACCCUCGAGGAAGGACAUCACCCACAGAAGAAGCACCGGCUAACUCCGUGCCAGCAGCCGCGGUAAUACGGAGGGUGCAAGCGUUAAUCGGAAUUACUGGGCGUAAAGCGCGCGUAGGUGGCUUGAUAAGCCGGUUGUGAAAGCCCCGGGCUCAACCUGGGAACGGCAUCCGGAACUGUCAGGCUAGAGUGCAGGAGAGGAAGGUAGAAUUCCCGGUGUAGCGGUGAAAUGCGUAGAGAUCGGGAGGAAUACCAGUGGCGAAGGCGGCCUUCUGGACUGACACUGACACUGAGGUGCGAAAGCGUGGGUAGCAAACAGGAUUAGAUACCCUGGUAGUCCACGCCGUAAACGAUGUCGACUAGCCGUUGGGAGCCUCGAGUUCUUAGUGGCGCAGUUAACGCGAUAAGUCGACCGCCUGGGGAGUACGGCCGCAAAGUUAAAACUCAAAUGAAUUGACGGGGGCCCGCACAAGCGGUGGAGCAUGUGGUUUAAUUCGAUGCAACGCGAAGAACCUUACCUACCCUUGACAUCGUGCGAACUUGGUAGAGAUACCUUGGUGCCUUCGGGAACGCACAGACAGGUGCUGCAUGGCUGUCGUCAGCUCGUGUUGUGAAAUGUUGGGUUAAGUCCCGUAACGAGCGCAACCCUUGUCCCUAUUUGCCAGCGAUUCGGUCGGGAACUCUAGGGAGACUGCCGGUGACAAACCGGAGGAAGGUGGGGACGACGUCAAGUCAUCAUGGCCCUUACGGGUAGGGCUACACACGUGCUACAAUGGUCGGUACAAAGGGUUGCAAAGCGGCGACGUGGAGCUAAUCCCAGAAAGCUGAUCUCAGUCCGGAUCGGAGUCUGCAACUCGACUCCGUGAAGUCGGAAUCGCUAGUAAUCGUGAAUCAGAAUGUCACGGUGAAUACGUUCCCGGGCCUUGUACACACCGCCCGUCACACCAUGGGAGUGGACUGCACCAGAAGUGGUUAGCCUAACUUCGGAGGGCGAUCACCACGGUGUGGUUCAUGACUGGGGUGAAGUCGUAACAAGGUAGCCGUAGGGGAACC
rnacentral:rRNA from 1 species